rnacentral:lncRNA from 1 species
CACAGAGAACAAUAAACAUAAUGGUGAUCUUUCUGUAAGGAUAUAUAAUUUUCUUAAUCAAAAAUUAGUUUUUUUCUAAAAACACUUUGUUUAAUGACAUUUCAAAACGGAAAUUUUUCAUAGAACUCAUUACAUAGAUCUGAUUCCUCUUACCCAUGGGAUAUAAUCUAUCAAAGUAAUAUGUGGAAAGGAAAAAAGGGGCUUUCAAAUAUAUUUUGAAGGAGAAAACAGCAUUUUCUGCUGAAAUCCAAUAUGAAAUGGAGACUCACUGAAGUAGAAAAAUGCUUGCUUAGAGAGAAAUGGCAGAAAGCAGCAUCAUCUGCCAUUCUUCCUGUUGGGAGGAAGGAGGUCAGUGCUGAGUGGAAUAAAAAUCAGAAAGGAAGUACUUCUUGUGUAAUCUUAAUUAGGAUAAGACUUUUGUAGCAGAAAGACUAUGACAAAAUCAAAAGGAUGACAAAACUUAAGGAAGUAAAUUGCAUGAAAAUGUCUUAACAUGCAUUAUAUAUUUUUUCUUUUUCCAGUUAGAAGCUCUAAGAUUUGCUUACCUCUCCAGUUACUUUUUCAGUCAAGCAUGCCCUAGUGUUAGUUUAUAAUACUCAUGUUACUUCCUCUGUGCAUUUGGCUGCUCUUGAGGACACAGGGAUUGGACAUUAUAAAGGCAAUGGAGAAAAGGAUGCAUGGAAUGGUCAUCUUGGGUAUUGAACAGGGAGAGCAGUGUGGACAGGGUUGAUUCCUCAGUGAGCAGCAUGAUGCAGUGGAUACUUGCAGGGGUGGAGGCCACGAUGGAAAAAGGACACCAGUGUAAAGAUUGCAAGAGGAAGGCUUAGACAUAAAGCAGGCUAGAGUUGACCUUGGAUCUUAUAAGGAUGAGAUGCAACUUAAAGUCUGUAUGAGUUAGAAUGUCUCUGUGCCUUGGAGGGUAAAAUUUGGUUUUUCAAGGUUUCAGAAUAAUGUAGAGAAGCAUUCUAAAACAUACAGUGUGCCAUUUCCAGAGAAAGAGCAAACUUCAUAGAGGGAGGCUGGAAUAGAGGGUGCAGAUCCCCACAGCAUGGAAUGGUAGGGACAGAGGAGGUAAUCCCUGUGGUUGACCAAGUUGUGCCAGCUCUGUUCAAGGGAUAGCAAGGAGGCAAGAGUGGCUGGAAGCAAGAGAACAAGGCAGAAAAAAGUAGGUUGUGGACAUUCAACUGAGAAGUUUGAACUUUCUGCAGAUGAAGGGAAAUGAAGAUGAGUGAGUAGAGCCAUACACACAAGACUGUGCAAAAGAGCAGUAUGAGGCAGGAUCAGGGGUGGGGGCGGGUGGUGCUAAGUGGUAGAGCACUUUCCUAGAAUGCAUAAGGCCCUGCUUCAGGGAGCCAGGGAAGAGGUAUGAAGUUGAUUUUACUAUGUCUUCUCACCACAUGAGGUUAGCUUGUCUGCUUUCUUUCUCAUUUGACUUAUGGAACAGGUAAUACAGAAUAUAACUUUAGCAAUUUUUCAGGGACAGAGAGAUCUCACACGUAUAUACUGAUUGUGGAGACAUAAAUUCAUAAUUUUCAGGAAACUAUUUAUUCAGUAUGUUCCAUUGUCCCUAACUAUGUGUUCCAGUAACUCCAAGGCUAGUGUUUAGGGAUCAUAUAAGAAUCAAGGACAUCUUUUGCAUUGCCUUUUUCAACAAAACACAAAUAGAAAUAAUACGUAAGUCCCUGUUAUAGACCAAUGACUGAUGUGAUGAAAUGUUAAACAGCUUUAAAAAUGAUGUUAUGAAGGAUUAACAUAGUAAAAUAUUCAGUGUUGUAUACAAUAACAAAUAUUACUUUUAUUUUUCUUAAUAAAA